GAACAGGAAAUAGCCCAGCACUGAAUCCCGCCGUUGUAACGGCGGCGGGAGAUGUGGUGUUCGGGAGGUUCCGCUUUCUUGUCGUCGUCCACUCCUGUCCAAGUUCGUCUUGAACGGGGCCCAUUUCCCACAGAGGGUGCCAGGCCCGUAGCGACGGAGGACGGCGGCGAGAGGGACUCUCCUCAGAGUCGGGUUGCUUGAGAGUGCAGCCCUAAGUGGGUGGUAAACUCCAUCUAAGGCUAAAUAUUACCGCGAGACCGAUAGCGAACAAGUACCGUAAGGGAAAGUUGA
rnacentral:rRNA from 1 species